UACGGAGGAUGCGAGUGUUAUCCGGAAUCACUGGGCGUAAAGCGUCUGUAGGUUGUUUGCUAAGUCUGCUGUUAAAGCUUGAAGCUCAACUUCAAAAAUGCAGCGGAAACUAGUAGACUUGAGUGUGGUAGGGGUAGAGGGAAUUUCCAGUGAAGUGGUGAAAUGCGUAGAUAUCGGGAGGAACACCUGUGGCGAAGGCGGCCCCCUGGUUGGAUACUGACGCUGAUACGCGAAAGCGUGGGGAGCGAACAGG
rnacentral:rRNA from 1 species